GUGGGGAAUAUUGGGCAAUGGGCGAAAGCCUGACCCAGCAACGCCGCGUGAAGGAAGAAGGUCUUCGGAUCGUAAACUUCUAUCCUUGGUGAAGAUAAUGACGGUAGCCGAGAAGGAAGCCCCGGCUAACUACGUGCCAGCAGCCGCGGUAAUACGUAGGGGGCAAGCGUUGUCCGGAAUGAUUGGGCGUAAAGGGCGCGUAGGCGGCCUGGUAAGUCUGGAGUGAAAGUCCUGCUUUUAAGGUGGGAAUUGCUUUGGAUACUGUCGGGCUUGAGUGCAGGAGAGGUAAGUGGAAUUCCCGGUGUAGCGGUGAAAUGCGUAGAGAUCGGGAGGAACACCAGUGGCGAAGGCGGCGCUCUGGGCCGGUACUGACACUGAGGAGCGAAAGCGUGGGUAGCAAACAGGAUUAGAAACCCCUGUAGUCC
rnacentral:rRNA from 1 species